AUUGGUAAAAUGUACAAAUUUUUUGUACAUAUUACCAAAAUCCGGUAAAACUGAUGUCAGAUGUAAUGUACAUCCCUACCAGAGAUUCGUACAUUUUACUUCAUGCCAUUUGUAACCUUCAAUGUUUUCAUUCCUAGCGACUGUGAAGUGCGCACUUCGUAAUCGCCAUUUUUUUGUGGAAGCGAAGCAAUUCGGAGAUAUUCCGAAAUAUACUCAUUUUGGACGACGUUUCUUCUAUUCUACUACUGAUAGAAGCAUUUCCAAUUGCGAUCAAUCGUAAACGAACAUUUUACAACAGCCAUGAUUCGAUGCUAAUAUUUGGCGAUACAAACUAGGGAAAGGAAGAACCAAUAACGAUCCACCAUCGGUCCGUGCAAACGGUAUCAAAUGAGCGUAUCUUUUCGUCGACCAACGGCAGCGACCAGCGAAUCAACAAGUGCAGCUGAUUCCAGCAUGAAUAGCUCUUCUGUUUCUUCACUGGAGCAUCGAAAAUCCCUAUCAGGCUCAGGUGCAGGCAAGAAUCAAUGAAGGAGGAGCAAGCUACGCUACCGCAAGUAUAGUCAUUUGCUCAUAAAAUUUACAAAAUGUAUCGAAACUCUCUAGGAAAAGUGUCGUCAUUCGUUUUUUCUACAAACUGAUAACCUCUGCGUGAUAAUGAUGUGUCAGGAAGAUCCAAUCAACUGCUUUUCUCAACCGGAGAAUGACAUGGAACACGAAGAACGUCAGAACCGACUACGUGCUCUGUACAAUCAUCAGGAUCUGUUCCAGGAGGAGAGUGUUGAAUUUGAUACUGGAAAGCAUCGACAAAAUCAAUGUCAUAUCGUCACUAGGUUUCAUGAUUUCCUUCUGGCUAAUGAUGAAAAAGUUGGGAGUCGAUAUCCGGAUAUCUGUUCCAACUACUAGCGGUUGUCAUCAAGGAAAACUCAGUUUGCUAACUCAAAUCAUUUUAAUUGGCUCAUCCCCCAUCUUGGAACGCAAGCAUCUAGUAAGGACUCCGGAUCGAUUUGUAAAUAUCUCGCCUCUCGAGAACCAUAAUCGUGCUCCGAUGAUUUUGUAUGUGUUGUGUUCACUGUGCGUUGGUAAUGGUCGGUAUGGUUGGUCGGUAAUCCUAAUAUCCUCGUUCAUCGUGUUGAGGAAUCUGGGGUGUACCAGAAGUGUUACUUUGAAAUUACUAUGGACCAUAACGGACAAACAUGACACCGCGUUUGCAAAUUAAUUGGACCAAUACUGCUGAAUAUGUUGAGGAUGUAAAAAUGGGGCGAAAAUGACGUUGGUAAUAAUUUGCAUACUCAUGAUUCCGGACGUGGCAAAACUAUUCAUCGCAAAAGGAAUGGAAUUGCACGCUAGAUCUCAGCGUCUCGGUGAUACGGUUUAUGUUCAAUGGAGAGCCAAUGCAUGUUUGAUUUUAAUCUUACUGGAAUUUUUUUUUCCGGUGAUGAGCUGCUCGUCGAAGCUAAGUUGUCAAUUUUAUUUUGGUUUCCGCGUUUCUGUCUGCGAUA